UCUACGCAGAAAAGAUACAAGAACAUUUACUCCCACUGCAGAAAAACUGAUGGAGAGUGCCAGGAGACAGGAACACUACAAGAAGGGCUAUGCAGCUGCCAAUGACAUCAUUGGACAGUGUUUAUGGGAAAUGCACAGAACAGAAGCCGUGUUUUGCAGAAAAUAGAGAUAUGACUGAAAUACUGCCUGCAUCCUGCAUUUGUGAGUCUGUGAAAUCAACCAACCACGGACUGAAAAUAUUUUAAAAAUUGCAUAUGCAUUAAACAUACAGACUAC